rnacentral:lncRNA from 1 species
UUUUCAAGUUGUAUACCAAACAACUUUUUGAAUCUUAAAAAAUGAAUUUGAGAACUCCUUGUUUUUUAAGAAAAAUAACAAUUUUUAAGUUCUCUACUUGGAUAGAAUACCAAACAAGCCCUUACUCACUCACUAUCUUCUUCAUAUUAAUAAAUUGACCACCAUGUUCUGUCAAUCUAUUUUCUUCAGGCCCGUUUGGUAUUUUAUCCAAGUAGGAAACUCAAAACCUUAGAUUAUUUUAAAAAACAAAGAGUUCUCAAAUUCAUUUUUUAAGAUUCAAAAACUCGUUUAGUAUGCAACUUGAAAACAGUUUUUAAAUUUUUAAAUUUAGAAACUUGUUCGGUUGAAUUCUUGAAAACAACUUCUUUUUUUUCUUUUUUUUUUAUAGCUAAGGUAUUGAUAAACAUUAUUGAAAUUAUACUAAACAUACUGAUUUUAAUAGUCCUGAUCUCUUAGACUACAGGGGUCCAAGAGAUUUGUGGUCACUUAUCGUUGAAUGUAAAUUCAACGGUUCACUCACUCUUGCACUCCUUUUAAGAAACUUUUUUGAACCAUUGAAUUAAUAUCCAAUAGUGGGUGACCACAAUCUCUUGGACCACAGAGAUCGGGACUGCUGAUUUUAAUACCAUACAUAAAUAAUGAUCGUCAAAUUCAAUUGAUCUUCAAGUCUUAAAUAAUACAUAUUAAAUUAAAAUAUUCUAUACUAAAUAAAUUCUAGACUAAUGAUAUUGCUCCGGCUAUUCAAUCUCUAGCAUCACUAAUUUCAUUAGCAUUGUCCUCACUCAUGCAAAUGGGUGUGUUCCCUGCUUGAUUUGCGCAAGAGCUUUCUUCAUCUACCACAUCAAGAUCAUGCAAAUUGUGCAAAAUUCCAUUAGGGCCCCAAUAAUGUCACUUCAGACACCAUCAUAUUUGUAUAUAACCAAAUUGCAAAAUUGGAAUGAGAAUAAAUCUUCACAAGUCUCCAACUAAAAUAGCAGAUAAAGAAUUCCAUGAUAUAGCUGAGAUACAAAAUUGCUACCACGCACAACACAAUCCAUGAAUAAAGAAUUCCAUGGUAAGGUAUGCACUGUAAUAUUUCCUUCUUAGACUCUGUCAAAUCUAACAGGCCUUCUUAGAACAUAAUCUACAUGGAACCCAAUUUGGGCAAGCUCAUGACAACUCUAUUCAAAGCUUGAUUUUUCAUAACAGUAGAACAACUUACUAUAACCUUCAAUAUGGUUCACUAGCCAUAUCCUUGACAAUACCAGGAAAAUCCAAACUAUGGCCACACAAAUAUAAAGAAACAAUAAAACUGGCUAUAUAUAACUUAGAGAGAGAGAGAGAGAGAGAGAGAGAGAGAGAGAGAGAGAGAGAGAGAGAUGUGGAUGAAGAGAGAGAUACCUCUGUAAUGCUCAACCAGUCCAAAACAAAACUCACAAAAUCCAUAACCAAAGGGCACCCUACGGCUAAACAUUGGCAUUUGAUACCUCUAUAAUGUGUCUAUGAAAUUGAUCAAAAUGAAAACUUGAGUGGAAAACUUCUUCUGUAACAAUUCCUACUAGUUUGAACAAAUGUCUAAGAAAAAACUUGUGUAUAAAAUACAUGAUUUUUACUGUCACAUACAUACUGAACAAGCUCUUAUCAAAACUUGUCAAGUUAAGUGAAACGAUCAAUCACAAUAAAUUGAGUUAAUUUUGACUGCAGAGCUCAUACUAACGGCAAGCUGAUGUGCAAAAUACUACAUAUUCAAGAAUUCUUUUUAAAUAGAAUAUAGAAGUUGAUUAACAUAUUAAGACUUCUUUUUUGGACCAAUACAUGAAAAAAAUUGCAGAGAAGCAUCAAAUGACCAAUUCAACAUAAGCAGGAUCUCAGAAAUUACAACCCAUAUGAAUAGCAUAACUGAGCAAAUAUCAUUCAGACUUCUGAGUGCUAGAGACUUCAAAUGAGAUAAUAAAAACAAAAAACAAAAACAACUGAAAAAAUUGAAACCAAUGAAUUCUAUAACCAGAAUAGGGAACACAAUGGACCCAUAAUGUCAAAAUCUAAAAGCAUUUCAUCACUUUCUAUGAAAAAAUAAUCAAUCAGGUUACACACAAGAAUUCAUAUAAAUAAAAUCAAAUUAGAUAUAAAUAAGCUAUAAAUCCAAUAAAAAAUAAACUCCAAUCUUCAGUUAUAAAGGACAAAAAGGGAACUAAAAAUUACCCGAUUGUAGAGAUCGGACAUUAGCAACUCCAGCUCACGACGAGCCAAUGGUGCGCGCCUGUUCGGUGGCGUGUGACGCCGAUAUUUCAACUGACAGAAUCGCAGAGACCAGAGGAGGCAGCGAGGGCGGUGCUCAGAUGCCCAGCCCUAAAAGUUACUGAUGAGAGAGAGGGACGAAGAGAGAGAUGGAGAGAGAGAGGGAGCAACAAAGCUUCAAGCUUCUGCUAUGGAGGCUUGAAGCUUGAGCUCAGAGCAAGCGUUGCUCGAGCGAUGAGACGAGUAGAAAAAAAAAUUCGAAAAAAACAGAAUUUUUUAUGUUUUCUAAUUUGUUGGUGUUUUUGAGUUUAUUUUGAGUUUGAGUUUUUAAUUUUAUAUGAUUAUAUUUGAAGGGAAAAAAAAAACCCAAAAUUCAAGUGUUAUAUCUCUGUUUAUUAAUUAAAUUAUUAAAGUUGAACCUUUCAUGCUCAUAUUUUUAGUUUCUUUAUUGAUAUUGCCUCUAUCUUGAUGUGGUGAUUGUUGAGAUUUUUAUUUUUUAUUUUUAAGAAAAUCUCGACGGAACGAGAAAAACUUUAUUGAUAAAAUGAAGAAUUACAACGCGAGGAACAAUAAGACUGACCCUGACACAAAAAAUCACAUAAUAAGGUGUUCUAAAUAAGAUCAUCAAACCAAAUAAAAAUAUCCACAUUAUGCAGACCGAAUCGAGCAAGUCACCAAUGUGCAACACCAUUUGCUUCCCAAUGAGUAAAUUGAAAAAGAGAUCCAGGAAUCUCAAAUAAAGUUGAGGAUUUUAUUGUUAUUAGUUGCUUUUAUUAUAAAAUUUAAAACUCUGGAAACCUUAAAAAGACAAAAAUAAAAAUAAAAAGAAGACAUUACUCUAAAAAGAUAUUUGGAUUAAUAUUUUCUUUAAAAAAAUCGAUGAUUAGUUUAUAAAAUAAAAUAAACAAACUACAAUUUUAGUGAUUAAUGUGUUCGUACAUGAGCACACUUUAGACUUUCACCUUGGGCCUUUGAGAGUUGAGAACCGGCCCUGCCUUUCAUAAUAAAAUUGAAUAUCCCUCAUGAAUUAAUAAAAAUCUUGUUUUAUUUUGUAAUUGUUAAUUAUGCUAUGUAAUUGCUAAUUUCUAAUGUUGGUGAUUGCUUAAUUUUAAGGCAUAAAAUAUAUUUUCAUUUUAAAUAAUUCCAAGCCAAUGAAAGAUGUCAUUUUUUUGUAAAACGACCUGUCGUUCUUUUCCCACCAGCUGCCGUCUCGUGGUGCUCUCAAGUUCUCAACCCACUCCAACCCCAAAAUUCUCAAGUCCAAUCGGAGGUCGCGCUAUGGCCAGCCUCUGUCUCCUUACGACCAAGAUGACGACGAAGAGGUUUCUCGUGCUAGUGAUGUUUCGGAUGACGAUUGGUUGCUCAAUGUGAGUUUCUGUUCUGGCUCUUGUGCUUGAGCUGCUCGACUUGGUGGUUGUCCUUUGGGAAAGUGUUUUUUCUUGCUUUUGAAAGCAGAUUUUUUUUUUUUAAUUUAAUUUAAUUUUUUAUAGUUAAAGUUCUACUUGGAUUUGAAGUACCUUUACUUUUGUGAAUGUAGUAGCAUUUGGUUUUUCAGUUUUUUAUUAAAAUUUUAACUUUAAUUUGAGGCAUGGAUAGUAACAAUGGUACAAUUAUGCUCACUGUGAGGUACCCAUGUUUUGAAAUACGGUAAUUUGUAGUUUUUCUUUGUGGAAUUCUUGAUUUGGUUGCUUAGGGGUUUGAGGUAAAUAUUUGUUUGUGGGUCUUUUUCAAUGUAAGAAGUGCAUGCCAGUUUCUUUCUGAUUUACAAAGCAACGUGCAAAGAAAGAUUAAGAGUUCAAGUUUUAUCCGUUUUCUUUUUGCAUUUCAUUAUUGAAAAUAUUGCAAAAUUGAUUCUUGGACUUGUGGUAAUUUAUUUUCAUGGAAAGAUUAGUUUGGUAUAAGUGUUUCUGUGACACAACUAUCUUCGGUUUCCUUUGUUUGAAACAUCAUCUGGCUUUUCUUGUGGGUUGCUUCUCCAGGAUGACUUUGCAGAAAUUUCAGAGUUUGAUGUUAAUAGAAAGAGGUCCAAAUCACACAAGGGAUUUGUGAAUGGUCAUUCGGAUGGCAGAAACAGUAAGCACACUCUAGAGAAAAGUAAUGCUGCAAACUACUACAAUAGUUCUAAUCAAACAAAUGGUGUCAGUUCCUUGGAUGUACCUCGUAAGGGAAAGGUAUCUUGUAGAGUGAUAUGACGAGCUGUCAAAUUCUGUCAUCAACUAUACUAUUUUUCCGGGAAGUGCUUAUUUAUUUUCUUUGAUGCAGCAGUCUACAAGGAAAGCUAUGGAGGAUAGAUUUCCUCGGCUAUCAGAAGAGGUUGAAUUGGAUGAGAAGUGGUUACCUCUUAUUGAUUACCUUAGCACAUUUGGGCUUAAGGAAUCACACUUUAUUCAAAUGUAUGAAAGGCAUAUGCCUUCUCUUCAAAUAAAUGUGUGCUCUGCAAAGGAAAGGUUGGAAUAUUUGUUGAGUGUUGGGGUCAAACAAAGAGAUGUAAGAAGAAUGCUUUUGAGGCAGCCACAAAUCCUCGAAUAUACAGUUGAGAACAAUUUGAAGUCCCAUGUUGCUUUCCUCAUGAGUUUGGGUAUUCCAAGUUCCAGAUUCGGGCAGAUUAUUGCUGCUGCUCCAUCCCUCUUCUCUUAUAGCAUUGAGAAUUCAUUGAAACCCACCGUGAGAUACUUAGUUGAGGAGGUCGGGAUUAAAGAAAAAGAUUUAGGUAAAGUUGUGCAGUUAAGCCCUCAAAUUCUAGUUCAGCGGAUUGAUAUAUCAUGGAAUACUCGUUUGAAUUUUCUUUCUGAGGAGAUAGGAGCACCCAGAGAUAGUAUUGUGAAGAUGGUUAAAAAACAUCCCCAGUUCCUCCACUUUAGCAUCGAUGAUGGUCUGCUCCCCAGGAUCAAUUUCCUUAGGAGUAUUGGGAUGUGUAAUGCUGACAUCUUGAAAGUCUUAACUAGUCUGACACAGGUCUGCUUACUUUCUUUUAUGCCCAUCAGAGUACUUUUACAUUGUUUCUAAUUGCUUGGGAUUUAUUUGUACUUGUGUCACAAGAAAUAGUUUUUCUUUCCAUAUGCAUGUAUGUUAGUAUGAGUUUCUACUUCUUUUACUGAAAUAUCAUGUUCUUAAGAAGAAGAAAAAUAGCUUUCUUGCUGCUUCCCACUUAACAAGUUAAUUUUCUGAAUCUUUGACCAUUUUAAAGUUCCCUUUUGUACAUUUCUGACAUGUAGCCUUGCAGGGACUAUCCCUAUCACUGGAGGAGAAUUUGAAACCCAGGUACAAGUACUUGGUCAAUGAACUUCGUAAUGAAGUGCAUUCCUUGACCAAAUAUCCUAUGUACCUAAGCUUGUCUUUAGACCAGAGAAUUCGCCCCCGACAUAGGAUAUAUAAGAUUUUUCCACCGAAGCUGUCCUACAGUGCCAGUCAAAAAGUUGUGAGAAAGAUCCAAAAACGUCAAUGAAUCUUUCCCCAAAUCCAAUAACCAUUUGGGAAUGUAGGCUUGGAUUCUGUUGUGGGAAAGGUAUAACAUAUCCAACUUUUGUGAGGCUCUGAGAAAGUAUGGGAACUCACUUAUGUUACAAGACGACAAAUCUAGACUCGAAAGUUGAGGCCAGGUGUUGUUACUCAAAUGGUUGAAGCUCAAGGAUAGAUGAUUAAAGGAAAGAUUAAGCUCACUAAGACUUUGGAGUUUGGAAAACUUUUCAAACUCCACAGUGCCACUCAAGUGGUUGGAUGAUAGAUCAAGCCCCGUAACCUUCUCAAGUUCAAAGAUUGAUCUUGGAAUCAGGCCAUCCAGCUUGUUAUCACUUAAAAAAAGGUAUUCCAAAGAACGAGAUUGGAACUCAAUGAUAUUACCACUGAGUUGGUUGCUUCCGAGGUCUAACCACUCCAAUGAUGGCAAACUAACUAACCAAGAUGGUAUUGUUCCGUUGAGUUGGUUCCCAUCUAAAAAGAGGGCGGUUAAGUGUCGUGGAAUAGGACCCACCAGUUGUUGUUUUGAAAAAUCAUAUAAAGAAGAGUUGCUAUCAACUUCUGGAAACUGACCGACAUAAUUGUUGAAACUAAGAUCCAACCAAGUGAGUGUCUCAAGAUUUAAGAAUGACCAUGGGAUUUGGCCACCAAAACUGUUAUACGAGAGGUCCCUUUUGUACAUUUCUGACAUGUAGCCUUUCAGGUACUAUCCCUAUCACUGGAGGAGAAUUUGAAACCCAAGUACAAGUACUUGGUCAAUGAACUUCAUAAUGAAGUGCAUUCCUUGACCAAAUAUCCUAUGUACCUAAGCUUGUCUAUAGACCAAAGAAUUCGCCCCCGACAUAGGUUCUUGCUUUCUCUGAAGAAAGCUCCUAAAAGGCCAUUUCCUUUAAGUUCACUGGUCCCCACUGAUGAAUGCUUCUGCCAGCAGUGGGCUGGAACUAGCUUAGAUAAAUAUAUAGAUUUCCGGCAGAGACUACUGCUCAAGGAGUUUGCCAAAAAAUAUGAAAGAAAGGGAUAGCAUCUUCUCCGAAAGGAUGCCCGAGGUUACUGACCCAAGUGUUUGAUGAACAGAGCAGCCUCCCUUUGCAACUUUGUCUGUGAAUGAAUUUCAAUGUAUGCCACUGUUAACAAUAAUUUCCAUGAAGUUCAGAGUUUCUGGUUAUCAUAAACCUGGAGUAAGCAAGUUUCCAGGUUGUUGACAGUUUCCCGUUGGGAUGGUUAGUUUGUUUCUCAUGUGGAGUAUAUAGGUGGUACCUCACUCCACUCCAAUGCUAUUAGUUGUUCAUACAGGAGCAGCUCCAGUUUUGUAUACAACGUUACAUUCUCAGGUCAAGGCAUCUAGAUGAGUAUUAUUUUCGAGGUUCUAACUGCUUGUGACAGAAAAGACAAUAGACGACAGUCUAUGCUUUAAGGUGAUUUAUUUUUUAAUUGAACAAGAAAGGGUGGUUUCCAGGAUAAUGAAUCUACCUUUUGAAUGGUCGCAUGUUUGAUUAUUUGUGCUGUAUUCCUUUGUGCUAGUAGACAAGUACAACGUAAUACAUCUCUUCCUUACUGCCAUUGGAUAGCCUAAUUACAUUGUUUGAUAUGAUUUUGUACUUUCUAAUGGUUAAUUAACUCAUUGCAGGUUAGUAGUGUAUUUGCAUCUUCUCAACUCUCAAGUGGACAAAGGAGAAGCUUUACUAACUGCGGUUGAUUUAAAACAGGAGGAUUCGUUCUUCUACUGUAUGCAUUGUAAGUCGGAUGAGUUUUUGCUACUUUUUCAUCCCGAAAAUAUACCCAGAGAAAAGCAAGAAAGCAGCCAAAAUUGCAUUGGAAUUUUACAGAGAAAAUUUGUCAACUCUGUAGUUUGGAGAUUCAACCCAACAAGUAAAGGUCAUCAUCAUAUUCGAUCAAAUUGGAUUUAAUUGGUUAAUUUGAGUGGAUUGGAUUGAGUUUUAAACACGAACUAGAUUGGAUUGAUGUCAAACAUAUAACUAUAGAAACUCAACUUUAACACACUAAUAUAUAUGUAACAAUAGUGUUGUAUGAAGAAAAUUACUUCUCUUAUUUCCACCAUAACGUGAUUAAUAAGCAGCUCGAGUUAGUAUUUAUCUCGUGAUGAUACAUCUAACUUAAUAAACAUGAUUAACAUUGAUGAGUAUUUCAUAACUAUCACGAUACAUCCGCGUAACCUAAUUGACUUGUGAUUGGUUUGUAGCUUAAGUUGUUAAGAGCAUUUAUCCUUGUAUUUGAUGUCCUAGAUUCGAUUCCUGCCUCCUCCAAUAUGUUUGUAUAAUAUAUAUUGUAAUUUUUAUUUUUUUUAAAUAUGGUUUGGCGCAUCAACGAUUGAAUUUAGACACCAACAAUAGACCCUUGAACCCAACAAGUGCAACGAUUUAGACAAUAUGACCACUUCCCUCUGGCAUUAAUCUGCAAGUUUAAACUAUGCUAGAUUCCGUUGACAAACAUUAUGACCAAUUCCCUCCUGAUGCUGGUCAACGGUGUGCCUAUGUUGCGAAACCACUUGCCUGUGGCAAGUCCUCCAAAAACAAGUGAUUGGCCAAGUUGAUCCAGUCUCUGGCUAGAAGCUUGCACGUUAUCCUUUCAGGGUCGGUUUGCUUCAAUACAAGAUUAUCAUGAAAACCCAAUCAUUUAUUUAUUUAAUAAUUGAAUUUGGUGGUGUCAAUUUUCAGAAAGUUGUUCAAGGAAUGAGACAGUGAAUGAGACAAACUUCGAUACUGCAUGCAGUUUGCGUUAGUAGCAUUUCUCUUAAAGCUAAGAGAAAUGCUAGUAACAUUCUUUCUAACUUUCUCUUUUGGACUUUUUUUUUUUUUUGCUUAACAUGUGUCAUUCUUCUUACACUUAAAAUAAUGUCAUUAAUACAAAGGACCCACUAGUGUAGUGGUUUGGAGUAUUUACUCCCUCAGGCAAGGUCCUGGGUUCGAGUCCUAGCAUCCGUGUUGUGUGUGUGAGUUUAAUAUGAUAUCGCCCCUUUCAAUAGGAAAGGACCUCAAAAAAAAAAAAUAAUAAUGUCAUUAAUAUAUUAUACAAGUUAACUUUGGUUUGCCAACUUUACUCUUAUUAAAUGUAUUCAAUUUAUUCAAAAAACUUUCACAACUUUCUUACCAUUAUUUUUUUUUAACGUCAAUUAUUUUUUUCAAAAAAAUAUCUAAUUUUUUCAAAAAAGAGGAAAUAUCUGUUUUUUUUUUUAAUAAUAAAAAUAUCUAAACCCUUUGUGUUUAAAAAUAAAAAUUUAAAAAAAAAAACUAGACAUUUCCUCUUAAAAGCAUAUAUUUUCUUUAAAAAAAUAAUUGACGUUAGAAAAAAAUUAAUAAGAUGGUAAGAAAGUUCAAAAAAAAAUUUGGAUAAAUUGAAUACAUUUAAUAAGGGUAAACUUGGAAAGCAAAAGUUAGCUUGUAUAAUAUAUUAAUGACAUUGUUUUAAGUGUAAGGAGAAUGACACAUGUCAAGCAAAGAAGAGAGAAGGUCCAAAGGAGAAGGUUAGAGAGAAGGUUGCUAGCAUUCCCCUAUAGCUAAUGGCUCCAACUAUAUUAGCCUAGUUAUGGAGGUCGGUUUGUCUUUCUGUACAAAUAAUACAUGUUUUGAGAAUUUUGAUAGUGUAGGCGUAGAGCCUUUUUCUUAUCCGGAUGUCGCAAUAUCCUUAAAAUAUAUUCUAUCUACACAAGUUCAAUAUAUAAAAAAAUUUAUAAAAACUUACAUUUUCUUCGAAGUGUUUAGAAAACUAAAUGGGGAGGUGAUAAUUGAUUCUUUUUCUCCGUAACAUAUUUCACGGAUUUAUUACUGAGAUUUGUUUUGAGUAAAUUAAAGACUUCAAUUAUAUGAAAGUAACAAGUUGAGGACUUAUGGUCAAUUUUUUUAAAGUUCGUCCAAUUUGCUAGCAAAACAUGUCACCCACACAAUUACUUGUUGUGGAUUAGUUUUUGUAUUUUUCCUUUUAAAACUUUUGAACUGUUCAAAAAUGUCACAUGUUCUUAUAAAAAGAAUAUACAUGAAAAAUUUUGAAUAGAAGUAUCACCAGCUGACGUGAUAAUACCGUACUAUUUAAUAAUUUUUACACAUUCUCUCUCUCCCCAUUCAUUUAAUGCAAAUGUUUAUAUAACAAAAAUUCCAAAAGGUAAUACUUGAGACGUUGAUAUUUAUAACAAGCUUAGCUGUCCUGCAUUUAAAAUUUCCACUGUGCUAGGAUGGCAAGUACUUGAGCUUGUUUCCAACAAAAUCAGCAAGCAUCUUUUGACAUCGAGGGUAAAGCAUCUAUAUUGUCACAUGGGUGUAGGUCCCAGUGUUAGCUAGCUAGGAAAUUAUUGUAACUAGUUACCAUUUUUUAGCAUGGCAAGUACGCAAUGAGUUUGUUUCUUGGAAAAUCAGCAAGCAAGCAAGCAGCUUUUGGAAAAUUUUGCAACCAAGGCUUUGAUUUGAUAUUUGGUCUAUGGUCUUGGUAGGUAUAAUUUCUGCGAUAUCAAAUGGUUUUCACGUUUUGCCUCCAAUUCCUACUAGUCAAAACUUGUUCAAAUAUCCAAAGGGCAUGUCACGUACAUUCCUCAAUCAGAAUUGAUUAAUUAAUUGUCAAUUGCAUGGUCAUAGUCAAUUUUUAAGUUGAUUUGUAUUGUACCCUCAGUUUUGUGGGCAAAUACUACUCAAUUAUCCAUGCUAUUUAGUGAUUUAAUUUUUUUCAUUUCCUCGUAUUUUUUGAAAUGAGAAGAAUUAUAGGAGUAUAUAACAUAGUUGAGCCAAAUUACGUGUAUUGAUUGAAUGGAUUUGUCAAUUGUGUUUGACAAAUUACAAGAUGCACGAGCAAUUAUUCUAUUUUAACAAAAGUAAAGAGGAUCCUCUUUUCAAACUCAUGCAUAUUUAUUGGCGCUUUGACAUAAUAAAAUAUUCAUAAAAAAUGAAAUACAAUAUGAAAAUACAUAAACUUUUGGAAUGGUUUCUUCAAGCACGUCGUUGUGUGAUUUUCACAGUUCUACGACAUUGCUUUCUUCCUACCACUUUAACAAGCCAAUCUGGUGUUCCAUUAGAGAGUACAAGAUAUCCCACAGAUAUUCCAAUUACCACCCUAGAUGCAUACCCCAUCAACACUAGCUUCCAAUCAAAACCAUUCUCAUGCUCCAAAUCAACCUCUUGUUGGAAUGACGAUGGCGGUGAUUGAUGUGGUGCACUGCAUGUUUUAGAAAGUGGCAAUCCACACAAUCCUGUAUUUCCACUAUAUGAAUCAUUUUCAAAUGUAUCAAAUUGCUUGCCAUGAGGUAUGGGCCCCACAAGUUGAUUUUUUGAAACAUUGAACUUCGAUAGUGACGUCAAAUUUGCCAGUUGCUCCGAAAUUUCACCAACAAGUUUGUUUGAAGACAGAUCUAACCAUUCAAGAUUGCGCAUUUCUCCAAAUGAUGGUGGAAUUGUACCUGUAAGCUCAUUAUGAGAAAAGUUAAGCCCCUUCAAUGAUUUAAGCUUACUAAUUACACUUGAAAUCUCUCCUCUGAAAGUGUUGUUUGAGAAAUCAAUAAUUGUGAAGAACGUCAGGAUCUUCUCCAUUUCAAUUUCGAAGCCUUUAAUUGUCACUACCACAGUAUCCUGAUAGUAACCCUCUCCCAUAUAUUUCAGUCCAUGUUCUUGCGAGUUUAUCACAGCCGUCAAGUGUUCAAAAUAUUUUGUUGGCAAGAGACCGCUAAACCGAUUGUUGGAGAGGUCUAUGAUAUGCAAUUUUUGGAAUGGAAACUUAGUUUUUGGAAUGCAUAUUUCACCAUAGAAUUUGUUAGACCUCAAGAUAAGAACCUGCAACUUCGGAAGAGAUUCUAGCCAAUUUGGGAAUGUGUCUUGAAUUUUGUUGUUUGCAAGGUCUAGAACUUCUAACUCUCUACAUGUGAGCAAAGUUGGCGGCAACGACCCUUCCAACUGAUUUUUAUUAAGAUCAAGAUUUCUCAAAACGUUUCCCUCAGAAAAUGUGUCUGGAAUCAUGCCAUAAAAUUUAUUAUUCCGUAGAUUCAAAACAGAGAGUCUCUGACUGAAAUUCCCUAUGCAUUGAUGAAUUUUGCCACUCAAUUUAUUAUUAGACAAAUCAAGGAUUUGAAGGCUACUCAGGCUGCAGAUCGUUGGAGGUAUCUCUCCAGUGAAUUGAUUGUUUGAUAUGAAAAAGUAAUAUGUGGAAGGUGAUGGAAUUGGAAGCUCUCCUUGGAGAGAAUUGUUGCGAAGGUCAAGAUACUGGAGAUUUUUCCACCGAAGCGGUCCUACAGUGCCAGUCAAAGAGUUGUGAGAAAGAUCCAAAUAACUCAAUGAAUCUUUCCACAAAUCCAAUAACCAUUUGGGAAUGUUGGCUUGGAUUCGGUUGUGGGAAAGGGAUAACGUGUCCAACUUUGGUGCGGCCCUUAGAAAGUAUGGGAACUCACUUAUGUUGCAAGACGACAAAUCUAGUAACUCAAGUUGAGGCAAGGUGUUGUUUCUCAAAUGGUUGAAGCUCAAGGAUAAAUGAUUAAAGGAAAGAUUAAGAAUUUGGAGUUUGGAAAACUUUUCAAACUCCACAGUGCCACUCAAGUUAUUGGAUGAUAGAUCAAGCCAUCUAAGGUUCUCAAGUUCAAAGAUUGAUCUUGGAAUCAGGCCAUCCAGCUUGUUAUCAUUUAAAAGAAGCCCUGACAAAGAACGAGAUUGGAACUCAAUGAUAUUACCGCUGAGUUGGUUACUUCUAAGGUUUAACCACUCCAAUGAUGGCAAACUACCUAACCAAGAUGGUAUUGUUCCGUUGAGUUGGUUCUCAUAUAAAUAGAGCUCGGUUAAGUGUCGAGGAAUAGGACCCACCAGUUGUUGUUUUGAAAAAUCAUAUAAAGAAGAGUUCGAUGUCGAGUUGCUAUACACUUCUGGAAACUGACCGACAUAGUUAUUGCCACCGAGAUUUAAGGAAACAAGGCUCUCAAGGUUUAAAAAGAACGACCAUGGGAUUUGGCCACCAAAACUGUUAGACGAGAGGUCCAACCGCAUGAUUUGUGUGAGGUUACCAAGAAAUGCAAGAUAUGAUCCUACAAAACUGCAAUUGCUGAGAGACAAAUCUCUCAAAGACUUGAAAUUUCUUGUCAGAUGAUGCCAAUCUACUGAGAUUCUUGUACGAGAGAGAUCCAGCAUCUCAAGGGGACUGCUCCAGUUAGACUCGGGGAAAUAACCUGUGAGGUUAUAGUUGUGGCCUAAAUCUAGGAGUCGAAGAUUUGGUCGUUGGAAAAUGCUUUCUGGGAAUUUUCCUUGCAAGUUGCACCAGGGAAGUUCAAGAAUUUCCAAAGAAGAAGACAGAUUUUUGAAAGAAUCAGGUAUAACUGAUGACAUAUCAACAGAGGCCAAAUUAAGCUCCCGAAGAUUGGUCAGGUUUUGAACAAUUCUGUUAAAGCUAAGAGUAUCAACAUGUGUCACAACAAGAUAUGAAGAUUGCGAGAGAUUGAGUGAAACCAAGGUGGAAAGGUGGGAAAUUUCGGAAGGUAUUGGGCCACUGAAAUUGGAGUAAGAGAGGUCAAGGUGAGUCAUACUUACAAAGCCACCAAAUUUGGACGAAAUUGGGGAACCUCUGAAAUCAUUAGAAGAGAGGUCUAGCCUCUUGAGAUGGCCGAGAGAGAAUAAGCUGCUAUUGGAAUGGAUAUUGCCUUGAAGCCCACUGAAAUGAAGGUUGAGACUGAUCACACGACUAGUCAUCUUUUCACAAGUGACUCCACUCCAUGUGCAACAAUCCUUGCCUUUCUGCCAAGAAAUUGUACUAUUAGAAUAAAGAGUUGUUCCAUUAUAUAAUUCACGUUUAGAAGAGGUAUCAAUAGAAAAGGAGUUUUUGAAUUGAAGCAAAGCGGAGCUGUCUUCAGGAUGGCAUAAAUGCCCUGAAGAAAGAGAAGAGGAAGAGUUAGCUGAUGAACAAGUAGAGUUGAAUUGACAAGUAGUAGAGAGCAGGAAGAGGAGGCAGAACCAUGACAACCAACCCAUCUUUCUUUAAAAAUCUAAAGUAUAUAGUUAUUGUGAGCAAUUCUAUACUGGAUAUGUUGAUAUUUAUAACAAGCUUAAUGAAUAGUAAUUUAUCAUCUUUAAAGAUAAUCAAGUAUCAUUGUGCCCAUUGUAACGAUUGGGUGUCCUCUUCACAUAGUAGGUCCCAAUUUGAAGUGCUGAUUUCAAGCGUUGAUUUGAUAUUUGGUCUUUGGUCUUUGGUCUUGGUAGGUAUAAUUUCUGCAUGUUCAAAUGGUUUUCACAUGUUACCUCCAACUUCUACUAGUCAAAAGUUGUCCAAAUAUGAUUCACAUUCUGUGUGUAGACCAAAUAUGAUUCACAUUUGCCCCUAAUUCUUCUCAUCUCUAUGCUUCUACUAACUUUGUCUCUGCCACUAAGCAUUUGCUAGGCCUUAGGCCUUUUGUCCGAAAAAGCAUUUGCAGCUUUGCCCCCUUCCUCACGCUCUCAUCUGACCCUUAAGCAUUUGAUAGGCCCUAGGCCUUUAGUCCAAUCUCUUUAUGAACUUUCAGAGCAAAUUCAUAAACAAAAAUUUCUUUUAUGAAAAUCCAUUAUCUUUCUCUAGGGCUAAAGAAAAGAAAGGAGUCAUCAACAUAAAAGUUAAAACAAUGCUUUAGAUAAAAUCUAAAUAAUAUAAUAAUUAAACCCUAUAUAAAGCUUGAAAUCAAAGGGUUUCGGGAAUGCUUGCUCUCUCUGGAUGUGGCUGAGAGAGAGAGAGAGAGAGAGAGAGAGAGAAGAUGGAGAUUAGUCCUUUAGUCCAAUCUGUGAAUGAACUUUCAGAGAAAAUUCAUAGACCAAAAGAAAAAAGGUACCAACUUUUCUUUGUAGGAAAUGAUGGAACAACUUUAACGUUAUCACUUGCACAUGAAAUGUUUAUCACUCUAGCGUGUGCAAGUACGUGAUGAGUUUGUUUCACGGAAAAUCAGCAAGCAAGCAAGCAGCUUUUGGAAAAUUUUGCAACCUGUUAUAAAACUAGAAUAAUCAGUUGAUGAGAAGUACCACUGUAAUAUUGGGAGUGGGAUUAUAUUUCUCUUUGUAGUGUUUACACUGACAGAAUUUCUCCUCAGAUAGACUCCACUCUUUCUCUUCUCUCUGACUCCCACUCUUUCUCUUUCUCUCUUCCGUUCUUUCUUUCCUCACUCUUUCUUAUCUUCUAUCUUCUCAUUUCUUUCACUUUGCAGGUUGCCUAUUUAUAUGCAGAUUGGUGCAACUCUCGUGAGUGUGCAGUAAGAAAAAGUUGCCGACAAACUCUACCCAAAGUCUCCAAAUGAAUAGUUAGUGGGCUCCACACAAAAAUUUUACAGCACAACCAAGACUUUGAUUUGAUAUUUGGUCUUUGGUCUUGGUAGUCAAAAGUUGUCUAAAUAUGAUUCACAUUUUGGGUGUAGACCAAAUAUGAUUCACAUUUGCCCUCUCCUUCACGCUGAUUCUUCUCAUCUCUCUGUGCUUCUGCUAACUUUGUCUCUGGCCCUAAGCAUUCGGCAGGCCUUAGGCCUUUUGUCCAAUCUAUGAAUCAACUUUCACAGCAAAUUGAUACAGGUAAAAAAAUAAAAAAUAAAAAGCAUUUGCAGCUUUGCAUUCUCAUUUAGGAUCACCUAUAGAACUAUAUAGAAAUUAUAGCUAGUACAUAUGUCAAUUGAAAAUGGUUUUGAGAUUAAUUAGAAGUGCAUGCUCUUCAUAUGUCUUUUGUUUGGCCUGGUUUCCUUCUCAGCCUCUGAUGUUUUCUUUGGCUUCUUCGUCGUUUUUUCGUACAAGUUUGGAUAAAGAGAAAAAAUUGUUUGGAUUUUGAAGAGGUAUCAAAACUUUCGUUGUUUGUUUUGUUGCUCUUUCUUUUCCUUUUGGGUUGGUUGAGCGUUCUUUUGUUUUUGGCUCAGCAAUUUUACUCACUCCCUAUCUUCUUCAUAUUAAUAAAUUGACCACCAUAUUCUGUCAAUCUACUUUCUGAGGGCCCGUUUGGUACUCAAAACCUUUGAUUAUUUUAAAAAACAAGGAGUUCUCAAAUCCAUUUUUUAAGAUUCAAAAACCUAUUUGAUAUGCAACUUGAAAACAGUUUUUUAAUUUUUAAAAUUUGGAAACUUGUUUGGUUGAAUUCUUGAAAGCAACUUUUUUUUUCUAAUAGCUUAGGUAUUGAUAAACAUUAUUGAAAUUAUACUAAACAUACUGAUUUUAAUACCAUACAUAAAUAAUGAUCGUCAAACUCAAUUGAUCUUCAAGUCGUAAAUAAUACAUAUUAAAUUAAAUUAUUCUAGACCAAAUAAAUUCUAAGAUAAGACUAAUGAUAUUGCUCCGGCUAUCUAAUCUCUAGCAUCACUAAUUUCAUUAGCAUUGUCCUCACUCAUGCAAAUGGGUGUGUUCCCUGCUUGAUUUGCGCAAGAGCUUUCUUCAUCUACCACAUCAAGAUCAUGCAAAUUGUGUAAAAUUCCAUUAGGGCCCCAAUAAUGUCACUUCAGACAACAUCAUAUUUGUAUAUAACCAAAUUGCAAAAUUGGAAUGAGAAUAAAUCUUCACAAGUCUCUAACUAAAAUAGCAGAUAAAGAAUUCCAUGAUAUAGCUGAGAUACAAAAUUGCUACCACGCACAACACAAUCCAUGAAUAAAGAAUUCCAUGAUAAGGUAUGCACUGUCAUAUUUCCUUCUUAGACUCUGUCAAAUCUAACAAGCCUUUUUAGAACAUAAUCUACAUGGAACCCAAUUUGGGCAAGCUCAUGACAACUCUAUUCAAAGCUUGAUUUUUCAUAACAGUAGAACAACUUACUAUUCAAUAUGGUUCACUAGCCAUAUGCUUGACAAUACCAGGAAAAUCCAAACUAUGGCCACACAAAUAUGAAGAAACAAUAAAACUGGCUAUAUAUAACUUAGAGAGAGAGAGAUACCUCUGUAAUGCUCAACCAGUCCAAAACCAAACUCACAAAAUUCCAUAACCAAAGGGCACCCUACGGCUAAACAUUGACAUUUGAUACCUCUAGAAUGUGUCUAUUAAAUUGAUCAAAAUGAAAACUUGAGUAGAAAACUUCUUCUGUAACAAUUCCUACUAGUUUGAACAAAUGUCUAAGAAAAAACUUGUGUACAAAAUACAUGAUAUUUACUGUCACAUACUGAACAAGCUCUUAUCAAAACUUGUCAAGUUAAGUGAAACGAUCAAUCACAAUAAAUUGAGUUAAUUUUGACUGCAGAGCUCAUACUAAUGGCAAGCUGAUGUGCAAAAGACUACAUAUUCAAGAAUUCUUUUUAAAUAGAAUAUAGAAGUUGAUUAACAUAUUAAGACUUCUUUUUUGGACCAAUACAUGAAAAAAAUUGCAGAGAAGCAUCAAAUGAACAAUUCAACAUAAGCAGGAUCUCAGAAAUUAUAAGUAACCCAUAUGAAUAGCAUCACUGAGCAAAUAUCAUUCAGACUUCUGAGUACUAGAGACUUCAAAUGAGAUAAUAAAAGCAAAAAACAAAAACAACUGAAAAAUUUCAAACCAAAGAAUUCUAUAACCAGAAUAGGAAACACAACGGACCCAUAAUGUCAAAAUCUAAAAGCAUUUCAUCACUUUUUAUGAAAAAAUAAUCAAUCAGGUUACACACAAGAAUUCAUAUAAAUAAAAUCAAAUUAGAUAUAAAUAAGCUAUAAAUCAAAU